AGAGUUUGAUCAUGGCUCAGAACGAACGCUGGCGGCAUGCCUAACACAUGCAAGUCGAGCGGUAACAGGCGUAGCAAUACGUGCUGACGAGCGGCGAACGGGUGAGUAAUGCUUCGGAAUCUUCCUCGUAGUGGGGAAUAACCUGGGGAAACUCAGGCUAAUACCGCAUACGAACUACGGUUGAAAGCGGGGGAUCGCAAGACCUCGCGCUAUGAGAUGAGCCGAAGUCGGAUUAGCUAGUUGGUGAGGUAAAGGCUCACCAAGGCGACGAUCCGUAGCUGGUCUGAGAGGACGACCAGCCACACUGGGACUGAGACACGGCCCAGACUCCUACGGGAGGCAGCAGUGGGGAAUAUUGGACAAUGGGGGCAACCCUGAUCCAGCGACGCCGCGUGUGUGAAGAAGGCCUGCGGGUUGUAAAGCACUUUCGGCCGGAACGAAAUCGCGUGGGCUAACACCCCGCGUGGAUGACGGUACCGGAAGAAGAAGCUGCGGCUAAC
rnacentral:rRNA from 1 species